GAGUUUGAUCAUGGCUCAGAUUGAACGCUGGCGGCAGGCCUAACACAUGCAAGUCGAGCGGAUGAGUGGAGCUUGCUCCAUGAUUCAGCGGCGGACGGGUGAGUAAUGCCUAGGAAUCUGCCUGGUAGUGGGGGACAACGUUUCGAAAGGAACGCUAAUACCGCAUACGUCCUACGGGAGAAAGCAGGGGACCUUCGGGCCUUGCGCUAUCAGAUGAGCCUAGGUCGGAUUAGCUAGUUGGUGGGGUAAAGGCCUACCAAGGCGACGAUCCGUAACUGGUCUGAGAGGAUGAUCAGUCACACUGGAACUGAGACACGGUCCAGACUCCUACGGGAGGCAGCAGUGGGGAAUAUUGGACAAUGGGCGAAAGCCUGAUCCAGCCAUGCCGCGUGUGUGAAGAAGGUCUUCGGAUUGUAAAGCACUUUAAGUUGGGAGGAAGGGCAGUAAGUUAAUACCUUGCUGUUUUGACGUUACCAACAGAAUAAGCACCGGCUAACUUCGUGCCAGCCGCC
rnacentral:rRNA from 1 species